UCCCUGGUGGUCCAUGGAACCACACUGCACACUCUCAAUGCAGAGGGCCCAGGUUCGAUCCCUGGUCAGGGAA
rnacentral:tRNA from 1 species